rnacentral:sRNA from 1 species
GGAAGUAAAAAUCGUAACAAGGUUUCCGUAGGUGAACCUGCGGAAGGAUCAUUAAAGAAGCAGCCCUAAACUCUUCUUAUACCCUCCAGUGAACUGUCCGGCCUAGCCGCAUAUACAAACUCUUGUGUCGUCUAUGUAUGUCUAGUUAUUCAUAACAAGUAUAACUUUUAGCAACGGAUCUCUUGGCUCUCGCAUCGAUGAAGAACGCAGCGAAAUGCGAUAAGUAAUGUGAAUUGCAGAAUUCAGUGAAUCAUCGAAUCUUUGAACGCACCUUGCGCCGUCGGCAGUCUUUGACUGCCAUGGCAUGCCAGUUUGAGCGCCUUAACAGCUUUGCACUGCGGCUGUGGUCGCAGAGCAGACUUGAGUGCUGCUGACUUGUCAGCUCGCUCUGAAAGCAUUAGCUUCUUGAAAGCCUAAGCAACGUGAUAAGUAUCUUCGUUGUGACUGGCCUGAAAGGACGCUUAGAACCGUCUUCGGACAACACCCAAUGCUAGGCAUCAAAUUGGUAGGACUACCCGCUGAACUUAAGCAUAUCAAUAAGCGGAGGA